GACGAACGCUGGCGGCGUGCUUAACACAUGCAAGUCGAACGGAAAGGCCCUGCUUUUGCGGGGUGCUCGAGUGGCGAACGGGUGAGUAACACGUGAGUAACCUGCCCUUGACUUUGGGAUAACUUCAGGAAACUGGGGCUAAUACCGGAUAGGAGCUCCUGCUGCAUGGUGGGGGUUGGAAAGUUUCGGCGGUUGGGGAUGGACUCGCGGCUUAUCAGCUUGUUGGUGGGGUAGUGGCUUACCAAGGCUUUGACGGGUAGCCGGCCUGAGAGGGUGACCGGCCACAUUGGGACUAAGGUACGGCCCAGACUCCUACGGGAGGCAGCAGUGGGGAGUAUUGCACAGUGGGCGGAAGCCUGAUGCAGCAGCGCCGCGUGCGGGAUGACGGCCUUCUGGUUGUAAACCGCUUUCGCCUGUGACGAAGCGUUAGUGACGGUAAUGAGUAAAGAAGCACCGGCUAACUACGUG
rnacentral:rRNA from 1 species